CUCAUGGUUUCACGGUAUUGCAAUGAGAACAAUUUAAAACCCUUAGCGAGAAUCAAGUGGAGGACAAGUCUGGUGCCAGCACCCGCGGUAAUUCCAGCUCCACUAGCGUAUAUUAAAGUUGUUGCAGUUAAAAAGCUCGUAGUUGAACCUCUGUCUGGGGCUAGUUUUGGCUUUGGUCAGGCUAGUUCUAGGCAUCCGCCUACAAGACUUAGAGGGCAUUCAGUUGUUCACUAGGAGGAGUAGGCAUUUUACUUUGAAAAAAUUAGAGUGUUUAAGGCAGGCAAUCGCCCGCAUAUAUUAGCAUGGAAUAAUAGAAUAGGACACUUUUCCAUUUCGUUGGUUAUUGGAAUCGUGUAAUGAUUAAUAGGGACAGUUGUGGGCAUUUGUAUUUAAUUGUCAGAGGUGAAAUUCUUGGAUUUAUUAAAGACAAACUAACGCGAAAGCAUUUGCCAAGGAUGUUUUCAUUAAUCAAGAACGAAAGUUAGGGGAUCAAAGACGAUCAGAUACCGUCCUAGUCUUAACUAUAAACUAUUCCGACUCAAUGUUUGACUGGCUUAUAUAACCAGUUGAGCGUUGUAUGAGAAAUCAAAGUCUUUAGGUUCUGGGGGGAGUAUGGUUGCAAAGCUGAAAACUUAAAGGAAUUGACGGAAGAGCACAACCAGGAGUGGAUUCUGCGGCUUAAUUUGACUCAACACGGGGAAACUUACCAGGUUAAAACAAUAGUGGGAUUGACAGUUUGAGAGCGCUUUCUUGAUUGGUUGGGUGGUGGUGCAUGGCCGUUCUUAGUUGGUGGAGUGAUUUGUCUGCUUAAUUGCGUUAACGAACGAGACCUUAACCUGCUUACUAGACUGGCGAUCAUCAAUCGUUAGCUCUUCUUAGAGGGACUUUGGUUGUUUUAACUCCAAGGAAGUUUGAGGCAAUAACAGGUCUGUGAUGCCCUUAGAUAUCCUGGGCCGCACGCGUCAUACAAUGACUAGUUCAGAAAGUUUUCUCCUGACCCGAAAGGGGAUGGGUAAUCUUGAUAAUACUAGUCGUGUUAGGGAUCGAUCUUUGCAAUUAUAGAUCUUGAACGAGGAAUUCCUAGUAAGUGCGGUUCAUCAGACCGUACUGAUUACGUCCCUGCUCUUUGUACACACCGCCCGUCGCUUCUACCGAGUGGGUGGUCCGGUGAGAUAAUUGAACUUCGCAGGUAACUGAGAGGAAAGAUUAUCAAACCUAUCCACCU
rnacentral:rRNA from 1 species